ACCAGACUCCUACGGGAGGCAGCAGUGAGGAAUAUUGGUCAAUGGGCGGGAGCCUGAACCAGCCAAGUCGCGUGAGGGAAGACGGUCCUACGGAUUGUAAACCUCUUUUGCCGGGGAGCAACGGGGUCCUUGCGAGGGCCCAAUGAGAGUACCCGGAGAAAAAGCAUCGGCUAACUCCGUGCCAGCAGCCGCGGUAAUACGGAGGAUGCGAGCGUUAUCCGGAUUUAUUGGGUUUAAAGGGUGCGCAGGCGGAUUUUUAAGUCAGCGGUCAAAUCGUGGGGCUCAACCCCAUCCAGCCGUUGAAACUGGGGAUCUAGAGUGUGCGAGAGGUAUGCGGAAUGCGUGGUGUAGCGGUGAAAUGCAUAGAUAUCGCGCAGAACUCCGAUUGCGAAGGCAGCAUGCCGGCUCCACACUGACGCUGAGGCACGAAAGCGUGGGUAUCGAACAGGAUUAGAUACCCGAGUA
rnacentral:rRNA from 1 species